CGAUCUCUCUCUCUCUCUCGAUCUCUCUCUUUGUAUUAAUACUGUACUUGACUUGGGAAGCCCUGCACAAGAAUUCCAAUGUGUUUGAACUGUCUGGUUUAUGCACAAAUGGCGAAUAAAAACCUUUGAACUUUUGAACUUUGACAUGGCAGACAUCAGGAAAUGGUGGUGCAUUUCCCUGAUGGAACAUUUCCAGAUCAAUGGGUAUGACAGAACUUUGAAAGUAAUUUCUUAAAUACAUAUUUUUUAUAAAUAGGUGUAACUAUUAUGUUACUAUCUCACUCAAAAGCCACGGACGGAGGCUUGCAUACUGGACCAAGGAGGCCCGAGCAUUGCUCGCUGGGUUGCUGGAGCCAGUGUUUAGGGUCCCAAAGGCCAGAAAGACUGAACAUAAGGUGACAUGCUUGAAGAAAUGCAGUUUUGAUCAUACAUGCAUAUAUAUAUUUAUAUCAAUCUGUCUGUACAUCGUUUAUCCAUACUAAGCUUUUUUUUUUAUGUAAUUGAACAAUAAGAGUUUAUUUAUCCUUCAAAGGUUCGGUCUGAGAAGUCAGACCGAACCAGAAGUCAGGUGCUUCAUUUCGGAGGUAAUUGUUUUUACUUCACUGGUGCUGCAAUUAUUAUUAACUCAUCGACUGCUUUCUUUAGCUCUUUAAAGGACAUUGAUAAAGAAUUAAACACUUUACAUCCCAUAUGUUUUUGUGGUAGUGUAAACCAAAUGGGCACAUAUGGGGUUGUGUUAUAAUCAAUUUACAUAUAAUUUUCGAUAUUGAAAUUGCUGUAGCCUUAUGCAAAAAAGCUUUAAACGCCCCAUUGCAAUUGAAACUGUGUUGUUGUUGUAUUAUCUAUGAAAUCUUCUUGAUCUUGCCUGACAUAUAUUUUACAGUUGCCAAAGUCAGUGCUGUCUGACAUCCUCACUGAGGUGGUACUCCAAGAGGGAGAUAAAGCUUACUCAACUCUGGCUCUGGUGUGUUCCACCCUCAGGAACAUAGUGUCCACUGACAGGUUCAAAAGAGAGGCACAUUUUCUGUGGCUCAACAGUAAGUGCAUCAGUGAAGGGUGAAUCAGUGUACAAUAUCCUAAUUUAAUAUAAUAAUGUAAUGUCCUGUGGGGUCUAUACAUGUUUUUACUGCUCUAUAAAAAAUAAAUGUGCUCUUUCAUCUUACACUUUGCUUGUCACAGGCGUCACUACAUGGGGUAGAGUAUCCGCCAACUACAGAGCAGAGUUCUACACCAUGUACAGUAUUGGGACCCGCAUGGCCCUUUGUAGAGCCGACCUAUGCGGUCGGCUCUACAAAGUCUGCACAGGUUCUUACCUUCGAUAAUAGGGUCUUUAAGCAGCAACAUUUUAUGGGAGGCAACGGCAUCGGGUUGCCGUAAUAUAACUCAAGUAUCACUUAGCCACUCUCUACUUGCUUGGCAAAACACCCAUUCCUCCUUAUAAACAGACGGAAUAUUGGAACCGGAGGUGAUAACAUAAAUUCCAGAAUGCCAUAAGUUGUUCUCGAGGUAGCCCUCCACUCAACUGUUGCUGCUCCAAGUCCCUAAUCUUAUGUGUCAGUACAUGAAGUGUUGAGGUCAUACCUGUAUAGACCGCAUGCAAAGUGUGUGGUUAGACUAUGAUUUCAUAAUUUUUUUCUGUUAUAGGAUAUAUUGGUACAGGGAAAAGAGGCAAACUGGAAGGAAUAUAUUCCGACAGCUACGACGGGGGGUACUGUGAUGACAUCUGCCGCCCAAGAUUAUAGGUACAUUUUAAAUGACUCGUAUUUGUGUGAUGAUUUGGAGACUUUACAAAAAAUGACUGUAGCUCUGGACAAUAUGACACAUACAAUUGAACUGUGCAAGAGAGAAUGGACUGAUGCUUAAUAAACCGGAUGACAUUGUUAUGUUGAAAAAAGAUGAUCUUCGGGCACUGCCAGUUCGAAAGCACAAGUCAAAACUGUCCAGAAAACGAAAAUGGACCCAAGCUCCCUUGUCGCCCCUAAUCCAACAUUGCGAGGAGGAGACACUGGGCCCCAGCUAUUCUGCUGUCCUGCACCCAAAAUCCUGAGGAUGCCAUGGAGCUCGGCA